rnacentral:rRNA from 1 species
UAGGGGAGGCGGCAGUGGGGAAUAUUUCACAAUGGGCGAAAGCCUGAUGCAGAAAAGGCCCUUGAGUGUUGAAAGCUUUUGGGUUGUAGAGCUUUGUUUUCUGGGAGGAUAAAGACGGUACCACAGGAGGAAGCCACGGCGAAUUACUUCCCCGCAGCCCGGGUAAUAAGUAGGUGGCAAGCGUUGUCUGGAUUUUUUGGGGGGUAUAAAGGGUGCGGGGGAUACUUAAUUAGUCAGUGAAAAUCCCGAGCUUAACUUGGGAAGGGCAUUUGUUGAUAGUGAUUUAGAGAGGGGAGAGGAAAGUGGAAUUCCUAGGGGUGCGGUGAAGAAGUUAAUAUUUAUGGAGAAAACCAGUGGGGAAGGGGACUUUUUGGUCCAUAAUAAAUGACGGGGCCGCAAAGAAGGGGGGGCAAACCGGAUUAUUUACCCCCGUGGUCCACCCGUAAAAACGAUGAUUAGGUGUGGGGGUAUCAUCCUCCGUGCCGCAGUAAACGCGAUAAGUAUCCGC